rfam:Bacterium CG2_30_54_10 isolate CG2_30_54_10 cg2_3.0_scaffold_31153_c, whole genome shotgun sequence.
UGAGGGGUCCGCGAGGAUCUCUGACCGCCGGGUAGAAGUCAGCAGCGGGCAAAGUAGCCCCGUCCUUGGGGCGAAGGCC